rnacentral:rRNA from 1 species
GUGGGGAAUUUUUCGCAAUGGGGGCAACCCUGACGAAGCAACGCCGCGUGGGUGAUGAAGUAUUUCGGUACGUAAAACCCUUUCGACGGGGACGAAACCGCAAGGUUGACGGUACCCGUAGAAGAAGCCCCGGCUAACUCCGUGCCAGCAGCCGCGGUAAUACGGGGGGGGCAAGCGUUGUUCGGAAUUACUGGGCGUAAAGGGCGCGUAGGCGGUUCGCUAAGUUGGAUGUGAAAACUCUGGGCUUAACCCAGAGCCUGCAUCCAAAACUGGCAAACUUGAGUACUGGAGGGGAAAGCGGAAUUCCUGGUGUAGCGGUGAAAUGCGUAGAUAUCAGGAGGAACACCGGUGGCGAAGGCGGCUUUCUGGACAGUAACUGACGCUGAGGCGCGAAAGCUAGGGGAGCAAACAGGAUUAGAUACCCUUGUAGUCC